GGCAACGUGUCAGAGUGGUCUAAUGAGUCAGAUUCGAAUAGCCGAUUAUCUGAUCCUCUUCGAGGGCACAGGUUCGAAUCCUGUCGUUGUCG
rfam:Sistotremastrum niveocremeum HHB9708 unplaced genomic scaffold SISNIscaffold_31, whole genome shotgun sequence.